CAGUGGCUCAGUUGGUUAGAGUGCCGGCCUGUCACGCCGGAGGUCGAGGGUUCGAGUCCCUUCUG
rnacentral:tRNA from 2 species